AUGGCGACCGGCGCACGGGUGAGUAACACGUAUCCAACCGGCCGAUGACGUCGGGAUAGUCCUUUCGAAAGAAGGAUUAAUACCCGAUGGCAUAGUUCUUCCGCAUGGUAGAACUAUUAAAGAAUUUCGGUCAUCGAUGGGGAUGCGUUCCAUUAGGUUGUUGGCGGGGUAACGGCCCACCAAGCCUUCGAUGGAUAGGGGUUCUGAGAGGAAGGUCCCCCACAUUGGAACUGAGACACGGUCCAA
rnacentral:rRNA from 1 species